GAGUUUGAUCGUGGCUCAGAAUGAACGCUGGCGGCGUGCUUAACACAUGCAAGUCGAGCGAGGCGGAGGGGGCAACUCCUCUAGCCGAGCGGCGGACGGGUGAGUAACACGUGGGUAACCUGCCCGGAAGUGGGGAAUACCUCGGGGAAACUCGAGCUAAUGCCGCAUAAAAUCUCCGGGACGAAAGUCCUGGCGAUCAAAGCGGGGUCGCAAGAUCUCGCGCUACCGGAUGGGCCCGCGCCCGAUUAGCUAGUUGGUGAGGUAAUGGCUCACCAAGGCAACGAUCGGUAGCCGGCCUGAGAGGGUGAUCGGCCACACCGGAACUGAGACACGGUCCGGACUCCUACGGGAGGCAGCAGUGGGGGAAUCUUGCGCAAUGGGCGAAAGCCUGACGCAGCAACGCCGCGUGGAGGAUGAAGGCCCUUGGGUUGUAAACUCCUGUCGGCUGGGAAGAACUCGUACGAUGCUCAUACCAUCGUGCGUUGACUGUACCAGCAAAGGAAGCCCGGCUAACUCUGUGCCAGCCGCCGG
rnacentral:rRNA from 1 species